GACCGCGACCCCAGGUCAGGCGGGACUACCCGCUGA
rnacentral:rRNA from 5 species